rnacentral:rRNA from 1 species
UACGAACUGUGCGAACGUUAUUCGGAAUCACUGGGCUUACAGGGUGCGUAGGCGGCCUGUCAAGUAGGGUGUGAAAUCCCCCGGCUCAACCGGGGAAUGGCGCCCUAAACUGGCGGGCUAGAGUGAGAUAGGGGUGUGUGGAACUUCCGGUGGAGCGGUGAAAUGUGUUGAUAUCGGAAGGAACGCCGGUGGCGAAAGCGACACACUGGAUCUUGUCUGACGCUGAGGCACGAAAGCCAGGGGAGCAAACAGG